rnacentral:rRNA from 1 species
GAUGAACGCUGGCGGCGUGCCUAAUACAUGCAAGUCGAACGCUUCACUUCGGUGAAGAGUGGCGAACGGGUGAGUAAUACAUAAGUAACCUGGCAUCUACAGGGGGAUAACUGAUGGAAACGUCAGCUAAGACCGCAUAGGUGUAGAGAUCGCAUGAACUCUAUAUGAAAAGUGCUACGGGACUAGUAGAUGAUGGACUUAUGGCGCAUUAGCUUGUUGGUAGGGUAACGGCCUACCAAGGCGACGAUGCGUAGCCGACCUGAGAGGGUGACCGGCCACACUGGGACUGAGACACGGCCCAGACUCCUACGGGAGGCAGCAGUAGGGAAUUUUCGGCAAUGGGGGAAACCCUGACCGAGCAACGCCGCGUGAAGGAAGAAGUAAUUCGUUAUGUAAACUUCUGUCAUAGAGGAAGAACGGUGGAUAUAGGGAAUGAUAUCCAAGUGACGGUACUCUAUAAGAAAGCCACGGCUAACUACGUG